AUUUAUAUUAAUAUAGUUAAGCUAUUUCGUUUGAGCCCUAUGCUUUAAUUGUAGGUUAAAAAGACUAAGUGAUAUAGAGACUAAGUUAUUAAAAGAUAAUAAAAAUUUGUUGUAACUAGCGAGAAUAAGAAAAGUAUAUUUAAAAUUGAGAAAGAAAGAAGUUUAUUAAAUUUAAGUAAAUUUAUGUACCUUUGGUAUCAGGGUUUAUAGAUUUAUGAGUUUAGAAAAUUGAUCCCGAAAAGAGAUGAUUUAAUUUAAAUGAUUUAAUUGUGGAAAAAAUUUUGAAAAUUUUAAUUAGAAGUGAUAAGCUUAACGGAUGUCUUGGUCUGGUUCCUUAAUUUUGCUUGAGGCUAAUUUUCUUCAUGAAAUUUUAUAUCUAUAAAAGAUUAGUUUUAUAGAAUUCACUGAAUAUCAAAAGUGAAAUUUUGUAGUCUUUGUCUUAGAGAGGUUUAAAUUAAAAAUUUAAAAUUUUAAUAAAAAUUAUAGAAUUAUUAUUAUAAAGAAAUUUUAAAACUAUAACUCGACAAAAUUAUUAGAACCUGUUUAUCAAAAACAUGUCCCUCUUUACUAUAAAGGGUCUGCCCUGCUCACUGAGUAUUAAAGAGCCGCUUAAAGUGUUAAAGUAGCAUAAUCAAUUGUCCUCUUAUUAAGGUCUUGAAUGAACGGGAGGAUUACUAAUAAAUUUUUAAUCUUGAAAAAUAAAAACUUAAAUUUUGAUUAAAAAUGUUUAAAUUCCACAAGGGGACGAGAAGACCCUAGGAUCUUUACAACAGAUUAAGUGUGUUUAAUUGGGGAAAUUUGAAAAAUAAACUUUUCUACCUUUCAUCCACUUUGGGUGUUUUUUUAAGAUAAAAAUAAGUUAAAAUAAAAUUACCCUAGGGAUAACAGAGCUAUAACAAGUUAGGUGACCAAAGUUUAAUUUGUGAUUGCGACCUCGAUGUUGAAUUAAAGUUUAAAGCCCGGUAGCUCGGGCUUAAUUUUAGUCUGUUCGACUAUGUAACUUUACAUGAUUUGAGUUCAGACCGACGUAAGUCAGGUUAGUUUCUAUCUUUUUAAUUUUCCUCCAGGAGUACGAAAGGAGAAUGAGGGGUUAAUAAGAUUU
rnacentral:rRNA from 1 species